rnacentral:rRNA from 1 species
GAUGAACGCUGGCGGCGUGCCUAAUACAUGCAAGUCGAGCGAACAGACGAGGAGCUUGCUCCUCUGACGUUAGCGGCGGACGGGUGAGUAACACGUGGAUAACCUACCUAUAAGACUGGGAUAACUUCGGGAAACCGGCGCUAAUACCGGAUAAUAUAUUGAACCGCAUGGUUCAAUAGUGAAAGACGGUUUUGCUGUCACUUAUAGCUGGAUCCGCGCUGCAUUAGCUAGUUGGUAAGGUAACGGCUUACCAAGGCAACGAUGCGUAGCCGACCUGAGAGGGUGAUCGGCCACACGGGAACUGAGACACGGUCCAGACGCCUACGGGAGGCAGCAGUAGGGAAUCUUCCGCAAUGGGCGAAAGCCUGACGGAGCAACGCCGCGUGAGUGAUGAAGGUCUUCGGAUCGUAAAACUCUGUUAUUAGUGAAGAACAAAUGUGUAAGUAACUGUGCACGUCUUGACGGUACCUAAUCAGAAAGCCACGGCUAACUACGUG